rnacentral:lncRNA from 1 species
ACCAAGCUGGCAGGGGUACGUGUCAAUUGCUUUGAUACGUGUCUUGCGUGAAAUCAGUUUUUAUAAACUGAUUUACUUUCUUUUCUUUUACAAUCUCUCACCGCCUCUUCUCUCUCCUAAAAUCUCUCCACCGUCUCUCUCUUUCUCUCUAAUCUCUCUCUGCACACCCAUCUCCCCCAAAUCUCUCGCUCUCUCCUGCUCCCUCGCACUCUCCUUGCCCUCUCUCUCUCCCGGGUGUCGCUGCAGUGUUCUUAGCCACCGCUGCUCUGUUUUCCGGCCGCCCAUCGCCGCUCGUGCUCCGAUUCCGGCACCACCAGCUCGUCCCCUCUCUUUUCCCCUCAUUCCCCUGCCUCCCUUUGCUUUGCUGCUGUGCCUGUGCAUCUGUAUGUGUGUAUUUCGAGUGUGUGUAUUAGUGUGUGCCACGAGGCUAUGUGUGUGCGCGAUUAUGUGGUCUGGUGUGGGUGUGUGUGUGUAUAUUCUGGUGUCCGUGUGCGGAAUCAGUGUGUGGGUGCUCAGUAUGCGUGCGUGUGUGCAGGUGGGUAUAUGUAUUUGUGUGUGGGCCCGAGUUGGCCGAGUUUUGACUACCUGGCUGUGUAGAUUAUUCGAGUGGCUCGAGUCCUGAAUUGAUUUUCUUAUACGUGUUUAUUUAUUAUUUCAUUUGCUGGUUCGUUUGACUGAUUAUCGAGGUUAGUUAGUAUUUAUAAAUUAAGUAUUUCGAUUAUUUCAGAGAUUGAUUACAGGUUUGUUGGGAUUGUUGUGUCGAUAUGAUAUCGACUGGUAGUCCGAUAAAUAGAGGAGGUGCUGCCCAAUUUUAAAUAAAAUUUAGAUUUUAAAAUUAUACGGGAGCGUAUCCUAUAAUUAUCAGGCUAUUAAUCGAAUUUAUAUAGUUACUGAUUCGUGAUAUUAUUAUUAAAUCUAUAAAUAAUAUUUAUGUGAUUUGGUAGUCAUAGCAUUAUUAUUAAUGUUAAUGUGUGAAACUGUGUUUACUUGGUAAUUUUAGGAUGUCGAAUAUUAAUAAAUAUUAGUAUUAUUCUUUAUUAUUAUUAUUGCUUGCACUAGUAGUAAUAAUAGUAAAUGAUAAUAUUAAUAAUAUAAAUAUGCGAUAUCUUAAAUAGUUAUAAUGCUAUGCUUAUUUAAUUCAACUUGUAUAUAUUUGAUUUGAAUAGUAUCUAAAUUGAGUAUUAUGGUAAGUGGUAAGUAAAUGUAUGGAAAUAUGUGAUACGUGCUAAGUGCUACGUGUUAAAUGUUAGAGUGUUAUUCUUGAUAGUAUAAUGUAUUAAUAUUGAAUUACUUUCCAUUUUAAAGAUAAGCUGUUAGUUUCUUUCAAUCAUUAUGUGUUUAGGUGCCGCAUGUCUGGGCGGAUUAUUUAUCAUUAUGUGUUAGGUGCCGCAUGUCGGGGCGGGUACUUUUCUUAUGUGAUUUACUGCAUGUCGAGGCAGAUAUUCUUUAUAUUAGUAUUUUAUUUAGUUUAAAGAGCUUGAUUUAAUUGAUUUGAAAACAGGGGGAUAGUCCUAUUUACGAAUAGGUCAUGCCGAAUUUUCUGUAGAAAUAUUAACUUAAAACGCGUUCUCGUGUUGAAUAAUAUUCAGAGAUGGUUGUAAGUUAUAAAACUAUAACGUGUGCUACUUGUUAUGUGCUAUAUAAUGUGCCAUGUAUAUAUUUGUGUAUAUAUAUAUCACGAAAGGGUAGAAAUAGGAUAGUCGUUUCGGAAGGAUACUAAAGUAGUAUCUGUUUGCUUAUAAUAGGAUCGAGCAUUGAGGGCGUGAUACCAAGCAAGGGCAGAAAAUGUGAGAGUUGUAUAGCGGUUCAGUAGCUACGGAUUGUUCGAGACGAGUAGAACCAGACGUUGGGGAUCAAGACUGAAGUUAGAUAAGAUGUCGUAUCAGGCUGCAGCAACCGCAUGAGCGACAUAGCAAAGAAUCAGGAAUAGUUGAUGGUGAUGUCUUGAGAAAGCAGAAUAAGAUAAGGAUGUUAGCUAAGAGUGUAUAAGCUAAGGACCAAAGGCAAGUAUUCCCAUUCCUCUCUUGUAUAUUUGAAAGUGCAAGUAUCCCUAUCUUCACUUAUUGUUCAAGUGAAAUUUUCUUCAAAUCCUAUUAUGCAAGUAUCUUGAAACCUUCUUUUAGAUAUAUUGCAAGUACUCUGGAACUUCCUUGAUAUAUUGCAAGUACCCCUGACAAUACUCUUGCUGGUUCGAGAUUACUAUAUAUGGAGUAAUGUAGAGCAAGAAUGCAUGUCUUUGUUCAAAUAGAUUCUAAAUAAUUGAAUGUUUUAAGUUACGUAUUCCCCUCGUUUCUAUGGAUUUAAUAUCUUUUAAAUUUAGUUUUAGCUGCCAAAGGCCAAUGUGUUGCCUUAUAUUUGGUACCUGUGAAUUAGGACAUGCUUCUACGAAGUGUGAUCCCGUACUAUUACACGUGCUGAUCAGCUGUGAUAGUACACCCGUCAGUGGAAGUUUCAAUCAAAAUUUAUGAUUUGAUUACUUAAGCUAAUAUUGCUUUUGUUUUCCAUUGGAUACUACUGUUUCUUAUCUCUUUACUUCCAGAAGGAUAGCACUUAUUAAUGCUUUACAUUUAAGUAUUUUAUAUAUAUAUUGUUGAGCCUUCUAGUUGCUCAUUCUUCCUUGUUGUUGCUGUGCUAAUCUUUGAGUUACAACUGUUAUGAUUUACUUCAAAAGUCUGCUUUAUUUCAAAUACUCUGAUUUCAUUCAAAAGAAAUUAUAUCUUGUGGCUCUUGCCUUUCUUAUUAUCUUGUUGAGCAUUUUCGCUCACUCUUGCUAUUAUUUCUAACCCUUUCAGCUAGGGAUUGAGAUGUCACCUGUAUAAGCUGCGCGUAAGAUUGAUGCUAGGCGAGAUUGCCAGGGAGAUGUUUACAAGAGUAGUUCUAGUUAGAAUUGUUCUAUUUCAGUUCAGUUGUAAAUAGACUUAUUUAUUUGGUUAUCAGUUACUCUUCUUAUCGAGGUUUAACUGAUAAUGUAGUUUAAGUUGUAAUAAGAUUUUAAGUUUUGGUUUCUGAUUUCAGUACUGUAACCUAUUAGCGAUCCUGUUUUUAGGGGGGUCAAAGUGAUUUUGAUUUAAAUCUCUUUUAAAAUUUCCAGAUUUUGAAAUAUCUGUUUUACCUUCUUCCGCAAAUAUAGGUUUUUAAAUGAUUUUGUUUUAGUGGCACCAAAUCCAGACCCCCGGAUUUGAG